CACGUAGGAGACAAGCGUUAUUCGGAUUUACUGGGCGUAAAGCGCGUGCAGGCGGUCUGACAAGUUGGAUGUGAAAGCUCCUGGCUUAACUGGGAGAGGUCGUUCAAAACUAUCAGACUAGAGAGUGGUAGAGGAAGGCGGAAUUCCGGGUGUAGUGGUGAAAUGCGUAGAUAUCCGGAGGAACACCAGUGGCGAAAGCGGCCUUCUGGACCAAUUCUGACGCUCAGACGCGAAAGCUAGGGUAGCGAACGGGAUUAGAAACCCCAGUAGUCC
rnacentral:rRNA from 1 species